rnacentral:rRNA from 1 species
GACGAACGCUGGCGGCGUGCCUAAUACAUGCAAGUCGAGCGGAAUGAUGAAGAAGCUUGCUUCUUCUGAGUUUUAGCGGCGGACGGGUGAGUAACACGUGGGCAAUCUGCCCGUAAGACUGGGAUAACUCCGGGAAACCCGGGGCUAAUACCGGAUAAUCCUGACUCUCUCCUGAGAGUCAGUUGAAAGAUGGUUUCGGCUAUCACUUACGGAUGAGCCCGCGGCGCAUUAGCUAGUUGGUAGGGUAACGGCCUACCAAGGGUUAUGAUGGGUAGCCGGCCUGAGAGGGUGUCCGGCCACACUGGAACUGGGACACGGUCCAGACUCCUACGGGAGGCAGCAGUAGGGAAUCUUCCACAAUGGACGAAAGUCUGAUGGAGCAACGCCGCGUGAGUGAAGAAGGUUUUCGGAUCGUAAAACUCUGUUGUAAGGGAAGAACACGUACGAGAGUAACUGCUCGUACCUUGACGGUACCUUAUUAGAAAGCCACGGCUAACUACGUG